rnacentral:lncRNA from 1 species
UCAAUAGGAAUUCAUGUAGUGAUAGUAGUACAAGUGAUCCUUGGACUUGAGAUCAUCAUAGUAUCUUGUGUGUGAUGAGUUAUACUUUGACUUAUUCCUUAAGACCCUUAGGGUAUAUCAAAAGGGUAUGCUUGGGUAUAAUAAGUUGUACAUGGAGAUAAUGUAUGAUCAAUAAAGAAUCUACCACUUCUAGUAAAAUAAGAGAAAUGUCCUAUGUGAUUCGAUAAAUGACAACCCAGUAGUCC